UACAACUGUGACAAGAUGAUCUGCCGC
rnacentral:piRNA from 1 species